rnacentral:rRNA from 1 species
UACAGAGGCCCCGAGCGUUACUGAGAAUCACUGGGUUUAAAGGGUGCGUAGGUGGCGCGUUAAGUCCGUUGUGAAAUCCCUUGGCUCAACCAAGGAAAUGCUUCGGAUACUGGCGUGCUUGAGGCUAGUAGGGGUCACUGGAACUGACGGUGGAGCGGUGAAAUGCGUAGAUAUCGUCAGGAACGCCGAUGGUGAAGACAGGUGACUGGGCUAGUUCUGACACUGAGGCACGAAAGCGUGGGGAGCGAACGGG